GGUAAGGUGACAGGGAUACUGGAGUGAUGGAGGUAGAUAUUGAUAGGGGUAAGGUGACAGGGAUACUGGAGUGAUGGAGGUAGAUAUGUAUAGGGGUAAGGUGACAGGGAUACUGGAGUGAUGGAGGUAGAUAUCGAUAGGGGUAAGGUGACAGGGAUACUGGAGUGAUGGAGGUAGAUAUUGAAAGGGGUAAGGUGACAGGGAUACUGGAGUGAUGGAGGUAGAUAUUGAUAGGGGUAAGGUGACAGGGAUACUGGAGUGAUGGAGGUAGAUAUUGAUAGGGGUAGGUGACAGGGAUACUGGAGUGAUGGAGGUAGAUAUUGAUAGGGGUAAGGUGACAGGGAUACUGGAGUGAUGGAGGUAGAUAUUGAUAGGGGUAAGGUGACAGGGAUACUGGAGUGAUGGAGGUAGAUAUGUAUAGGGGUAAGGUGACAGGGAUACUGGAGUGAUGGAGGUAGAUAUUGAUAGGGGUAAGGUGACAGGGAUACUGGAGUGAUGGAGAUAGAUAUUGAUAGGGG
ensembl:lncRNA